ACAAUGAAGAGUUUGAUCCUGGCUCAGGAUGAACGCUAGCUACAGGCUUAACACAUGCAAGUCGAGGGGAAACGACAUUGAAAGCUUGCUUUUAAUGGGCGUCGACCGGCGCACGGGUGCGUAACGCGUAUCGAACCUGCCCUUUACUCAGGGAUAGCCUUGCGAAAGUAAGAUUAAUACCUGAUAGUGUUGUGAUGAGGCAUCUUGUUGCAACUAAAGAUUUAUUGGUAAAGGAUGGCGAUGCGUCUGAUUAGGUAGUAGGCGGGGUAACGGCCCACCUAGCCGACGAUCAGUAGGGGUUCUGAGAGGAAGGUCCCCCACAUUGGAACUGAGACACGGUCCAAACUCCUACGGGAGGCAGCAGUGAGGAAUAUUGGUCAAUGGGCGAGAGCCUGAACCAGCCAAGUAGCGUGCAGGAUGACGGCCCUCUGGGUUGUAAACUGCUUUUAGUUGGGAACAAAAAAGGCGACGUGUCGCCUCUGGAGUGUACCAUCAGAAAAAGGACCGGCUAAUUCCGUGCCAGCAGCCGCGGUAAUACGGAAGGUCCAGGCGUUAUCCGGAUUUAUUGGGUUUAAAGGGAGCGUAGGCGGACGAUUAAGUCAGCUGUGAAAGUUUGCGGCUCAACCGUAAAAUUGCAGUUGAAACUGGUUGUCUUGAGUGCACGCAGGGAUGUUGGAAUUCAUGGUGUAGCGGUGAAAUGCUUAGAUAUCAUGAAGAACUCCGAUCGCGAAGGCAUAUGUCCGGAGUGCAACUGACGCUGAGGCUCGAAAGUGCGGGUAUCGAACAGGAUUAGAUACCCUGGUAGUCCGCACAGUAAACGAUGAAUACUCGCAGUAUGCGAUAUAGUGUAUGCUGCCAAGUGAAAACGUUAAGUAUUCCACCUGGGGAGUACGCCGGCAACGGUGAAACUCAAAGGAAUUGACGGGGGCCCGCACAAGCGGAGGAACAUGUGGUUUAAUUCGAUGAUACGCGAGGAACCUUACCCGGGCUUGAACUAAGCAGGAAGAUGGGCAGAGAGGCCUGUUGUCUUCGGACCUGCUUGGAGGUGCUGCAUGGUUGUCGUCAGCUCGUGCCGUGAGGUGUCGGCUUAAGUGCCAUAACGAGCGCAACCCUUCUCCACGUUUGCCAUCAGGUAGAGCUGGGCACUCCGUGGAUACUGCCAUCGUAAGAUGUGAGGAAGGUGGGGAUGACGUCAAAUCAGCACGGCCCUUACGUCCGGGGCUACACACGUGUUACAAUGGCCGGUACAGAGGGAAGCCACCAGGCGACUGGGCGCUGAUCCAUUAAAACCGGUCUCAGUUCGGACUGGAGUCUGCAACCCGACUCCACGAAGCUGGAUUCGCUAGUAAUCGCGCAUCAGCCAUGGCGCGGUGAAUACGUUCCCGGGCCUUGUACACACCGCCCGUCAAGCCAUGAAAGCCGGGGGUGCCUGAAAGCUGUGACCGUAAGGGGCGGCCUAGGGUAAAACCGGUGAUUGGGGCUAAGUCGUAACAAGGUAGCCGUACCGGAAGGUGCGGCUGGAACACCUCCUUU
rfam:Prevotella sp. oral taxon 302 str. F0323 genomic scaffold supercont1.16, whole genome shotgun sequence.